AUUGAACGCUGGCGGCAUGCCUUACACAUGCAAGUCGAACGGCAGCACGGGGCAACCUGGUGGCGAGUGGCGAACGGGUGAGUAAUGCAUCGGAACGUGCCAUUGAGUGGGGGAUAACGUAGCGAAAGUUGCGCUAAUACCGCAUAUUCUGUGAGCAGGAAAGCAGGGGACCGCAAGGCCUUGCGCUCUUUGAGCGGCCGAUGUCAGAUUAGCUAGUUGGUGAGGUAAAGGCUUACCAAGGCGACGAUCUGUAGCGGGUCUGAGAGGAUGAUCCGCCACACUGGAACUGAGACACGGUCCAGACUCCUACGGGAGGCAGCAGUGGGGAAUUUUGGACAAUGGGCGCAAGCCUGAUCCAGCCAUGCCGCGUGAGUGAAGAAGGCC
rnacentral:rRNA from 1 species